rnacentral:rRNA from 1 species
GACAGAGGGUGCAAACGUUGUUCGGAAUUACUGGGCGUAAAGCGCGUGUAGGCUGCUCGGAAAGUCGGAUGUGAAAGCCCUGGGCUCAACCUAGGAAGUGCAUUCGAAACUUCCGAGCUGGAGUGCUGGAGAGGAAGGCGGAAUUCUCGGUGUAGAGGUGAAAUUCGUAGAUAUCGAGAGGAACACCGGUGGCGAAGGCGGCCUUCUGGACAGUCACUGACGCUGAGACGCGAAAGCGUGGGGAGCAAACAGG